ACACUGAAAAAAAUGAACUCCAACUAAGUAGCAUUUUCUCUUAGUUGGCGUUAAAAUAAUUGAAAUGACCUUAUUAUUGUUUACUGAAACCAAAACCAUGUAGUUGUAACAGAAACCUGAAUAUGUUUGAAGUUACACACAAGUAAAUGUUGAUGUAAUAAAAACUUUUUAUAAAAACAACUAAUACUUUUUUGAAUUCAUACACUACACUCGUUAAAUUAGUUAUUUUCUAUAAUUUACACUUGCAAAGACUCUGUGCAUGCAUUAACCAUUUAUGUCUAUUAUAUUAACGAGGCGCAAAGUUAAAAUAAUAACUGGAUAUGUUACAUUAAAGACGCUAUGAAGUAGAACAAAACAAGACAAAAUGUAAUAUCUACCAUUUUCUUUAGUAGCACCAAUUAUUUAGUAUUUAGUCGUAUUAAUUAUUUACAAUGUUACUGCAAAUAAUUUAUGUGGUAUAUAAACAAUGUUGAUUAUAAAAUUAAACAUAAUUAAGUUAUUGUUUGAAUAAACAUAAUGAUAGCAUUUACAAAUUAUAAUAAGUUAUUUUAAUCAUAUAAAGUGAUAGUUGUGUUCAACUAGGUACGUUAUACCUAACAAUCUUCUUAGUAGAUUCAAAUAAGAUUUGACUGAAACUAAUAAGAGCGAGUCCCCCCACGCGUCUCCCUUCCCCCGCGCGCGGCGCGUCUCGACUUGCCGUCUGCCGCCACGCGCAUUUUCCGGCGACGCUUCAAUAGCGCCACAGCUGAGCAUUGUGGAGUUCUGCCUCUGGCAACGCGAGCGCAGCCUGAAGCCUCUAUUUAGUGAUCCGCUUACUGAUACUUACGUAUUGAUAGUGAUUUUGUGUUGUUGUGGUCCAGUCAGAAAUGGAUGACGUUGCCGAACUUUUGAAGACCUGGGAGCUACACGACUUAGUACCAAUUUUUACAGGUAAGUACCAUAGAAAUAUAAAGCCGAGAAACCUAGUUCACGCGCCAAAGUGAGGCCAUUUUUGUAAGCCAGUUGGCUUACUACGCCAUACAUUAUUGCUGCGUUUGUGUGCGUAAUGGCGCGUAUGAAUAGGACUUUUUCACAACUACAUGAAUCCAUUUUCGGCCUCAGUUUUGACGCGUCGCCCGUAUGAAACUAUCCUUCUGGGCUUUAUAUUUCUAUAACAGCGGAUGACAAUCCAGGCGUUAUCGGCUCUGACUCGAGAGGACUUGAAGGACCUUAUUCCGCAGGCAGGACCAAGGGUGCUAUUUACAAGGUGUUGGCGUUCGUGGAAAAAUGAGUUUUUGCCAAUAAACGAUACUAGUAUACCAUCUUUUUCGGGCCUGGAUUUGUCAAACUUGCAGUUUGAUUGCUUGAAGGAAACUGACGAACUAUCUGAAUGUGUUGUAGAGGUACUGAACAAAAGGAGGCGCUUCCAACAAUUAGGAUCCUUGACAACAAAAAAAAGAAACAGAGAAGAAAGCCCAGGACCAUCUUCUUCAUCACCAAGACCAAUGCCAAGAAUAAAGAAUAAAUUUAUUGUCAUAAAAACCUUAGUUGGUAAACAACUAAGGUUUAUAUGACAAUAAACAACAUUAAGGUUGAGUCAUCCUAUUAGGUAUUAAUGUAAGUAAGUAUUGUAAAGAAAGAAAAAUAAAGAAAUAAUUACUUAAUGUAUUUUUUUUUAUAAUCUCCUAGGUACAAGGAUUCAAUUAAGAACUUUUUCAAGGUAGGUAGUAUAUUGGUGACUACCUAAAUCGUCGUUUUUAUCAAGUGUAAGCGAAUUCAUGUAACAUACAUAGGCAUUUACUAAGUACAUAGUGUACUGUGUGUACACUUAGUAAAUAUCUAUGUAAGUUACAUGGAUUCGCAUACACCUAGUACAUACGACGGUUAGGUAGUCAUGAGUACCUACCAACUACCUUGAAAAAGAUCUUAAUUGAAUCUAUUUCCUGUCGUGACUACAUCAACAAAUCAUUCUUAAUAGAUUCAAACAAACCUCAAAGUCAAACUAGCCUAGAUCUUAGUUGAAUGAACUUUUAUCUUAGUUGAUGAAGCUAUAGGAUCUUGAGUGAUUCUAUAAAUUAUUUUGUUGUUAUUAUAAAGUUUAAUGCUUGCGUAUAACAACAUAAUAAUUGACAUAAACAAGUGGCCUUCUUUGAAGCAAGCAUUAUUUAGAUAGACUCAACUAAGCGUCUUGGUUAAAUCAACUAUUAUCUAAUUAAAUACAACUGCGAUUACUUGACACAUUGGACCACUUUCAUUAUUCGGAUAACUCUUAUCUUAGUUGAUUAAGCUAUAGGAUCUUGAGUGAUUCUAUAAAUUACUUUGUUGUUAUAAUAAAGAUUAAUGCUUGCGUAUAACAACAUAAUAAUUGACAUAAACAAGUGGCCUUCUUUAAAGCAAGCAUUAUUUAGAUAAACUCAACUAAGCGUCUUGGUUAAAUCAACUAUUAUCUAAUUGAAUACAACUGUGCGAUUACUUGAAUCUACAAAUGAACUUUAUUAAUAUAUUAAGGUUUAAUGCUUAUACUGGACAAGAUAAUUAAUGAAACUAACUAAUCAGUGUUUAUUAAUUCUACAACAGUACUUGAUAGCCGGAACUAAGAACAUUUUAACGAAAUUCUCUUUGUCACAGUAGUCAUGAUCUUGACAGGCUCAUAUGGAGACAAGAUACAUGAUUUUAAUAAACAAGAUCUUAGUUAAAAUGAUCAAAAAUUUUUU